ensembl:lncRNA
GUUCUCUGGCUUAAAUGCAGAUUUGUUAAGUAGCUGUCAAUCUCAUCCCAUUUUCAUAUUCCUCAUCUCUUCUACCUAAUCCCCCCAAAUCAGCAGAUACCUUUCUAGCCUCUUCUUACUCUCUCCUAUCAGAAAAAAAGAGAAGAGUGAGGAGAAAAUAAUAACAGAGGAAAAGAGAAGAAAGAAGCCAUUUAUAUCUGACUGCUGCUGUGGGAGUUUAAAAAUCUCCUUCUACCUGGCCGUUCUCCAACGGUGUUCUCCAACCUCUUUGUCUAUAGUUUGAUGACCUUACUCAUGAGAACUUUUAUAUCAAACCCCUGUAAAAUUCUAAGUACCUCCUGGAGUUUUUACUAAACUUCUUCUGAAUAGUUUUCUCAUUUAUGUAGAAAACUGUCUCUUUCUGUCAAUGUGCAGUCUCAUUUCUAAAAGUUUUAUUUAUACAUGGAACCCACAACCUUGUGAAUCCAUCAAGCCUUCCCUCAGCCCUAUUCAUUAUCUUCAAGGAAAUGGAUAUAUGCACUGUUUCAAGGUUGCAACUGAGCCAUGAUCUAUGAGCUGGAAAAUCAAUGAAUGGCUUACUUGGAACCAUGUUAAACAGUCAUGUAGCUAGCACUUACAGGUACAUGAAGCAGCACUACAAUCAUGAAGAUAAUAGUUGGCCUGCCCAGAGAGGAGGAAUCCAGAGAGGCAGUCCAACUAUAGCCACUUUGCAGAGCUGA